GACGAACGCUGGCGGCGUGCUUAACACAUGCAAGUCGAACGAUGAAGCCGGAGCUUGCUCUGGUGAAUUAGUGGCGACCGGGUGAGUAACCCGUGAGUAACCUGCCCUUGACUCUGGAAUAACUGCGGGAACCUGUAGCUAAUACCGGAUACGACCCUCGGAGGCAUCCACUGGGGGUGGAAAGAAUUUCGGUCAAGGAUGGACUCGCGGCCUAUCAGCUAGUAGGAGAGGUAAAGGCGCACCAAGGCGACGACGGGUAGCCGGCCUGAGAGGGUGACCGGCCACACUGGGACUGAGACACGGCCCAGACUCCUACGGGAGGCAGCAGUGGGGAAUAUUGCACAAUGGGCGCAAGCCUGAUGCAGCAACGCCGCGUGAGGGAUGACGGCCUUCGGGUUGUAAACCUCUUUUAGCAGGGAAGAAGCGAAAGUGACGGUACCUGCAGAAAAAGCACCGGCUAACUACGUGCCAGCCGCCGCCGUAA
rnacentral:rRNA from 1 species